GACGAACGCUGGCGGCGUGCCUAAUACAUGCAAGUAGAACGCACAGUUUAUACCGUAGCUUGCUACACCAUAGACUGUGAGUUGCGAACGGGUGAGUAACGCGUAGGUAACCUGCCUGGUAGCGGGGGAUAACUAUUGGAAACGAUAGCUAAUACCGCAUAAUAUUGAUUAUUGCAUGAUAAUUAAUUGAAAGGUGCAAUUGCACCACUACCAGAUGGACCUGCGUUGUAUUAGCUAGUAGGUGAGGUAACGGCUCACCUAGGCGACGAUACAUAGCCGACCUGAGAGGGUGAUCGGCCACACUGGGACUGAGACACGGCCCAGACUCCUACGGGAGGCAGCAGUAGGGAAUCUUCGCAAUGGACGAAAGUCUGACCGAGCAACGCCGCGUGAGUGAAGAAGGUUUUCGGAUCGUAAAGCUCUGUUGUAAGAGAAGAACGGGUGUGAGAGUGGAAAGUUCACACUGUGACGGUAUCUUACCAGAAAGGGACGGCUAACUACGUG
rnacentral:rRNA from 1 species